rnacentral:tRNA from 1 species
GCGGAAUUGGUAUAUGGGUUGUGCCCUAGGUUUCCAUCCUAGAGAAAGCGGUUCGAGUCCGUUAUUCCGCUCCA